rnacentral:rRNA from 1 species
GGUUCUUUGUAUUAUAUAAUGAAGAAUCUUACCUGCCCAGUGAUGAGAAUUUAACGGCCGCGGUAAUUUAACUGUGCGAAGGUAGCAUAAUCAAUUGUCUAUUAAUUGUAGACUGGAAUGAAUGGUGUGACUGGGAUUAGUUGUCUUGAGGUUAAUUUGAAAUUUUCAUUUUCUUGAGGAGGAGAAAAUGUGUUAGGGGGACGAGAAGACCCUAUUGAGCUUUAUACAGAAUAAUGUAUUUAUUUGUAGAGAAUUUAAUAUUAGAAGUAUUUUACUGGGGCGGUAGAUUUAAAAUUAAAACUAUUUUUUAAAAAAGUAUUAUUAAAUGAUCUUCAGAUCCAAUAUGAUUGACUAUAAGACUAAGUUACUGUAGGGAUAACAGCGUAAUUUUAUUUUGAAGUACUAAUUUAUGAUGAAGAUUGCGACCUCGAUGUUGGUUUAGGAAUCUUAUUUGGUGCAGAUGCUAAAUUAAGUAGUCUGUUCGACUAUUAAAUUCCUAUA